GACGAACGCUGGCGGCGUGCUUAACACAUGCAAGUCGAACGGAAAGGCCCUGCUUUUGUGGGGUGCUCGAGUGGCGAACGGGUGAGUAACACGUGAGUAACCUGCCCUUGACUUUGGGAUAACUUCAGGAAACUGGGGAUAAUACCGGAUAGGAGCUCCGGCUGCAUGGUGGGGGUUGGAAAGUUUCGGCGGCUGGGGAUGGACUCGCGGCUUAUCAGCUUGUUGGUGGGGUAGUGGCUUACCAAGGCUUUGACGGGUAGCCGGCCUGAGAGGGUGACCGGCCACAUUGGGACUGAGGUGCGGCCCAGACUCCUACGGGAGGCAGCAGUGGGGAAGAUUGCACAAUGGGCGGAAGCUGGAUGCAGCAACGCCGCGUGCGGGAAGACGGCCUUCGGGUUGUAAACCGCUUUCGCCUGUGACGAAGCGUGAGUGACGGUAAUGUGUAAAGAAGCACCGGCUUACUACGUG
rnacentral:rRNA from 1 species